GACGAACGCUGGCGGCGUGCUUAACACAUGCAAGUCGAACGAUGAAGCUGGAGCUUGCUCCGGUGGAUUAGUGGCGAACGGGUGAGUAACACGUGAGAAAUCUGCCCUUGACUCUGGGAUAACUGCGGGAAACUGUAGCUAAUACCGGAUAUUUUCCUUGGUGGGCAUCCACUGGGGAAGAAAGAAUUUCGGUCAAGGAUGAUCUCGCGGCCUAUCAGCUAGUUGGUGAGGUAAUGGCUCACCCAGGCGACGACGGGUAGCCGGCCUGAGAGGGUGACCGGCCACAAUGGGACUGAGACACGGCCCAGACUCCUACGGGAGGCAGCAGUGGGGAAUAUUGCACAAUGGGCGCAAGCCUGAUGCAGCAACGCCGCGUGAGGGAUGACGGCCUUCGGGUUGUAAACCUCUUUUAGCAGGGAAGAAGCGAAAGUGACGGUACCUGCAGAAAAAGCACCGGCUAACUACGUGCCAGCAGCCGCCGUAA
rnacentral:rRNA from 1 species